rnacentral:rRNA from 1 species
AUUGAACGCUGGCGGCAGGCCUAACACAUGCAAGUCGAGCGGAAUGAUGAAGAAGCUUGCUUCUUCUGAUUUUAGCGGCGGACGGGUGAGUAACACGUGGGCAACCUACCUUGUAGAUUGGGAUAACUCCGGGAAACCGGGGCUAAUACCGAAUAAUCCAUUUUGCUUCAUGGCGAGAUGUUGAAAGACGGUUUCGGCUGUCACUACAAGAUGGGCCCGCGGCGCAUUAGCUAGUUGGUAGGGUAAUGGCCUACCAAGGCGACGAUGCGUAGCCGACCUGAGAGGGUGAUCGGCCACACUGGGACUGAGACACGGCCCAGACUCCUACGGGAGGCAGCAGUAGGGAAUCUUCCACAAUGGACGAAAGUCUGAUGGAGCAACGCCGCGUGAGUGAAGAAGGUUUUCGGAUCGUAAAACUCUGUUGUAAGGGAAGAACACGUACGAGAGUAACUGCUCGUACCUUGACGGUACCUUAUUAGAAAGCCACGGCUAACUACGUG